rnacentral:lncRNA from 1 species
AAAAAAGAACAUCAUUGUUAUGACUAAGAUGGGCCAGAAUAUAGUGAAGAGCCCAAACAGCUGAUCAAAUUGUACAGCCCAAAACUGGCUAGGGCUCUAAUAAUCUCCACUGGCACUUUACCCUUAUAAAUUCAACCACCAAAUCUUCCAAUCCUUCAAGUCCAGCACAAUACACGUCUAGGGUAGCAAAAAAUUCCCUUUCUUCUUUAAUCUCUCUUCUUAGAUUUCUGUAGUUUUUGUUUUUCUCUUCUUUCUGUUGUGUUUAAUGCUAUUUUUUUGAUUGUUCAUUGGGUGUGUGAUAUUUGUAUUGAGGCUCGAUUAAAUUGAAUUUACACUUUGUUUUCCAAUUUCCUUUCCUUUUUGUAUUGUUUAAUGCUAUUUUCCUCAGUUUUAGCUCUUUGAUGAUCCUAAUUCAUUAUGGAGAUCUCUGUAAAGGUAAUUUUUGAUUAUUAUUUUUUCAUUUGGUGCGCUGUAUUUGUAUUGAGGUUCAAUUAAAUUUGAAUUCACUUUUUGUAUUUGUGCUUAGUGUUAUCGUUCUCAAUUAUUGUCUCUGAUGAUGAUCAAACAUAUAACUUUCGUUCUUCCGAGGAUUAACUUCCGUUGUGGAAAAAGUUAUUGGAGACCUGAACUGAAGAGACGCUUUGAUUAUCUCUCACGUUUUUGGGUAUUGUUACCAUAGGUUUAAUGUUUACUUGCGAUAAACAUACCCUCUCUGUUAUUUUUCUUUUCAAAUCAAUUUUGGUAAUUAUCAUUAUGAUAAACAUACCAUCUCUGUUAUUUUUCAGUUCAAAUCAAUUUUGGUAAUUAUCAUUAUUCAUCUUAUCUGUUUUUUCUAUGCUCAUAAUUCAUAUAAAGAUCUUUAUUAUUGUCUCUGAUGAUGAUCAAACAUAUAACUUUCGUUCUUCCGAGGGUUAAUGCCCAUGCGGAAAUGUUAUGGAGACCUGAACUGAGGAGGCAAAUAUCUUUUCUUUUCAUAUAUAUAUAAAUAUAUCCUAUCUAAAAAGAUGAGGUUUCUGGAAUAAUUGUGGAAGUUGGCUCUUUUGUUGACGCUNNNNNNNNNNNNNNNNNNNNNNNNNNNNNNNNNNNNNNNNNUCGAAUGACUUAUUUUGUUGUAAGUAUUUUAAUUUUUAAAUUUUUAAAUUUUUACAUGUUUAAGAAUACAUGAUUAAAAGAUAUUUUAAUAUAUUUUGACAUUAAUUUUAAUUUAGAAUUAAAAAAUUUAAUAAGUCUUUUAUUUUUUUAAAAAAAAUUGUGUCAAAUCAAAUGAAAUCAUUUUUUAUCUUUGAAACGAAGGGUGUAUAAUAUUUUGGAGUACUAAAGUUUUUUAUUUUAUUUUUGUUGGUUGAAUUUGUUAAGACUAGAAGAUAAUUUCAUUAAAUUUUAGUUACUAGAAGAUAAUUUUAAUAAGUACUAAUUAGGAACGGAGAAGGGAGUAAUUUAUUGAUCAUUGGAAAACUAUAAACCAAUCAUGUUUAUUAAAAUUAUAAAUCAAAUCAACAUAAAAUUAGUUUUUUUUUAUUUAGGUUUUAGUCGGUUUUUUUGUUUUUUUUUAUUUUUAUUAUAAUCUUUAAUUUUUACAAUUAUAUUGUGAUCGAAUGCUAGAUCAAAUAUAUAUUUCACUCAUGUGCUAAUGGAAAAUCACAAUUAUAAAAAAAUGAGAAGCGAAAAAUUCUUUUAAAACUAAAAAGUGAGAUGAAAUGUAGAAAGUUUAAAUUUUAAAUUUAUAUUGGAUUUUUAAUCAUUUAAUUAACAAUUAAUGAACAAAUAUUACGGUCUAAAGGUCCAAAUCUGAAUAUAUGUCUACAUCUACUAAAAUUAGUUAAAAAAUAUUUAAAAAGUAGAUUAUAAUUAAUAUUUUAUGCGUAAAAAGUUAUAAUUAUAAUAUUAAAUAUAUGUCGGUCUGAUUUGGGCUUGGUUUGGGUUUGGUUUGACUUUUUUUUUGGAUAGCACCAAAUCAAAUCAAGAAUGAUCAUUUUUUUUUCUAACGCCAAAUCAAUCAAAUUAAAUCAUAAGUUGAUUUUUUUUUCUCGAUUUGAUUUGAACACCCUAGUGUCAUGUUGAAAAGUAAUUGAAAACCUAGUGUCAUGUUGAAAAGUAAUUGAAGACCUGAACUGAGGAGUCACUAAUGACCUUAGUAAUGAAUUAUUCUCUUCAUUCUAUCUUAUAUUAGAUAAGUAUGUCCGUGCAUUGUACGGACCCAACAUAUAUAUUUACAUUGAUAGAGAUGAUAUUUAUACACAAUUGAGAUUAUAUGAAGCAAAUAAAUAACGAAUUUCAGUGUAUAGACCAUCGAAGAAUAUCAGUUGCUACAUUUGGUAACUAACCACAAAAGAUGAAAUCGAAGGGAAUAACUCAUAGUAGAAUAUACUGAGCAGAGAAAGAAUAUGAGAGUAGUAUGCAUCUGGAAUACAAAUUGUUAAAUCAAAUUGAACCGAAGAAUCAAAUCAAACUGACGAAAAGAAUCAACUUAUGAUUUUGUUUGAUUGGUUUGGUGUUGGCAAAUAAAAACCAAUCAUUCUUGAUUUAAUUUCGUAUUAGAAAAAAUAAAAUCAAACUGAACCCAAAUCGAACCGAUGUAAUAUAUAUAUAAUUUUAAUUUUUUAUACGUAAAAAAAUAUUAAUUAUAAUUUACUUUCUAAUUACUUUUACUAUUUUUUUUAUUUAGAAAAUAGAUAUAUAUUUUUGGAUCUUUAAUUAUAGUAUUUUUUUCAUUAAUAACAAAUAAAUACAAAGCUCAAUAUCUAUAUCUAUAUUUAUAUCUAUAAUCUAUAUUUAUAUAUAUAAUCUAUAACUAUAAUUUAUAAUAUAUUAAAAGUGUGAAGGGCCUUAGAAAUGUUGUUUGAAAUUUUUGUCCUUCAUUAAAAAUUUUCGCUUUAGACAAAAUCAUUUUUUCACUAUUUUUUUCUAAUUUUUAAAAGUUAAUAAUUAAUUAAUAUAUAUUUAUGGUAAAAUCUUUUCUUAUUAGAAGUCGUCAGAAUUAAUGACAACUAAUAUUUUUUAAAUUAGUUUAAGAAUGAUCAAACAACUAAAUUUGAAUUUAAUAAGAUUUGAAAAAUCUAGAAACAAAUAUAAAAGCCUUAGAAUAAGAAAAUUUUAAUAAGUAUUAAAUUUUAAAAAGUUUAAAUGUUUAAUAAGAAAUGUCUUUUUAUUAUUUUAUCAAAUACUUAUUUAACUAUUUUUACUACAAAAACACGUCCCACCUUAAAAAGAAAAAAAAAAGUAGUGUCAGAUUGUAGUUAGCAUACGACCUAAUUUCUUUCUUUUAAGUAUGAUUUUUAAUUUAAUUAGGAGUCCUUAAUUUUCUUUUCUUUUAAGUUUCGUUUGUCUUGAUCUUCUAUAAUAAUUAGUUUUUUUAUAAGAAACGUUUCUCAAAUUAGAUUAGAUUUCUUCCAUGUUUCAUAAACUCUCUUAAAAGGAAAAAAACCGUACAUCUAUAUAUUGAGCAUUCCUUUUUUUCCAAUAAAUAAUAGAACAACAUUCACAAUUUAAUUGUUAAAGAGUAUGUUCAAGAGAAGAUUAGUUUUAUGUUUUUUAAUAUUAGUUUUUAAUUUGUAGGUCAACAAUAUUAAAUAUUAUGCAUCUUUUAUUAACUUUUUUUAUCGUAUAAUUUAUUGUAAUUUCAAUUGUUGGCUUUCGCGUGAUGUGCAGGUAAAGAAAAAUUAUGUGAG